GGGCGGACGUCGCCCUGAGCUGCGCGUGCCGGAGCGAGGACCCCGGGAGCAGCCAGUGCCCCCAGCGCCCGGGCCCGCCCGCCCCGCGCCUUCCUGCCGCCGGGAGCUGCGGCUGCAGCGCCCUGCGCUUAGCAGCGGGUGCGCGCGCAUCCUAAGGGCGGCACCGCGACUCAGCGGCCCGGCCGCCCGGAACCGGCCCUCCGCCUCCUCCCUGUGCUUGGCGCGAAGGGCUGCCCAUGCCGGCUCCUCCGCUCGUCCCCGGUGUGUGUGGUGUGUGUGUAACACCGCCGGGAGCCGGGCCGACCGCGGGGCUGCAGACCAGACCUGCUACGGGCGACCUGCACGGGGCGCCCCAGCCUUCCCCCGCUCCUCGCCAUGCGUGUGUGCACAUGCAUGUGUGUGCUCAUGUAUGUGUCUGCGUGUGUAUAUGCAUGUGUAUAUAGACUUGUGUGCUUGUACUUGCAUGUAAAGAUAUGUGUUUAUGUAUGUGUGUAUAUGUGUUUGUGUGUUUAUGUGCACGUGUAUAUGUUUAUUGUGUGCAUGCGGGUGCAUGUGUAUGCGUGUAUAUUUGUAUGACUGUGUAUGUAUUGUGUGUUUAGGUGUGUGUGUAAGUGUAUGGCUGUGUAUGUGGGUGUGUGUUUAGGUGUGUAUGUGUGGCUGUGUGUAGGUGUGUAGGUGUGUGACUGUAUGUGUGUAGGUGUGUGUAUAGGUGUAUGGCUGUAUAUGUAGGUGUGUUUAGGUGUGUCACUGUGUAUGUGUGCCUGUGUGUUUAGGUGUGUGUAUAGGUGUGUGGCUGUGUUUAGGUGUGUGUUUGGAUGUGUGGCUGUGUGUGUGUGUUUAGGUGUGUGUAUAGGUGUAUGGCUGUGUGUAGGUGUGUGACUGUGUGUAGGUGUGUGUGCAUCUCUAUCAGUGUGCCCCUCUGGCUGCAGCGUGGGGGAACUUUGGGGUCCUCUGACUGCACAGCCCACGCCACGCGGUCUGGCACCUUCACCGCGCUCUGGCCACGCUGCAGUGUCUGCUGCGGCCACGCGGAGCCCAGGCCCCCUCGGGCUCUAACUCACCCGCGGCCUCUGAAAACGCCUGCUCUGAAGGCACCGUGCGGCAGGCCGGGGGGGCUGCAGAGGCCAGCUCGAGGGCUCCGGGCGGACACAGCAUCCUUCCCCCGCCCCCACUUGACAAGUGUCCAAGGGAAUGACCCCCGCGUGCACACAGUGGGCCUGCAGGUCCCACAUUCACACACACACACACGUUCGCCCACAGCUCCGUCUCGGGCCCUGGUUGCCAGCGGACCCAGCCCCCGAGGCUCACGGCUCCAUCGCAUCUCUGUC